UACAGAGGGGGCAAGCGUUGUUCGGAAUUACUGGGCGUAAAGGGCUCGUAGGCGGCCAACUAAGUCAGACGUGAAAUCCCUCGGCUUAACCGGGGAACUGCCUCUGAUACUGGAUGGCUUGAGAUUGGGAGAGGGAUGCGGAAUUCCAGGUGUAGCGGUGAAAUGCGUAGAUAUCUGGAGGAACACCGGUGGCGAAGGCGGCAUCCUGGACCAAUACUGACGCUGAGGAGCGAAAGCCAGGGGAGCAAACGGG
rnacentral:rRNA from 1 species